rnacentral:rRNA from 1 species
UACGUAGGGGGCAAGCGUUGUUCGGAAUUACUGGGCGUAAAGCGCGCGUAGGCGGUUUGGAAAGUCAGAUGUGAAAGCCCCGGGCUCAACUUGGGAACUGCAUUUGAUACUGCCAGACUAGAGUACAGAAGAGGUGACUGGAAUUCCCAGUGUAGCGGUGAAAUGCGUAGAUAUUGGGAGGAACACCAGAUGCGAAGGCGGGUCACUGGGCUGAUACUGACGCUGAUGCGCGAAAGCCAGGGGGAGCGAACAGG